AGUUUCGGUCACAACCUAAUUACAAAGCUUUUUUCCAGAGAGAGAGAGAGAGGGAGAGAGAGAUGGUGUUGAGGAAGCUGUGGCACCAUAGGAGUAUAGUAAGAGAAGCAUGGCAUCGAACCAUGGCGGUGGCGAACUUCCUCUGCGGCCUUCACGUUACCAACACUUACCUCUGUACUGCCGCCCUUGCCUACGGUCCCAGCAUGCUCCCGACCUUCAAUCUUACCGGUGAUCUGUUCCUUGCCGAGCGGCUCUCCACCCGUUUCGACAAGGUGCGACCUGGAGAUGUCGUCCUCGUACGGUCCCCUGAAGAUCCUCGGAAGUUGAUAGUUAAGCGCUUGCUGGGAAUGGAGGGUGAUUCUGUCACGUACGUUGUCGACCCCAAGAACAGUUCUAGGUGCGACACUGUCGUGGUUCCAAAGGGACACGUUUGGAUUGAAGGAGACAACAUCUACGCCUCAAGAGAUUCAAGACAAGUUGGGCCUGUUCCUUAUAGCCUACUUGAAGGCAAAGCAUUUUGCAAGAUAUGGCCACCUAAAGAAUUUGGUUUCUUGGGACAGAGCGGAAUGAAGAAUCCAGAUCUCUAAGGAUCCAAGAAAAAUGGCCAAUGCCAUUACCUUCCCAGUGGUCGUAACGUGAAGCCCUGCAAAGUUUAAAGUUAUCAAUUUCUAAAGCCAUUAGGACUUAAAUGGAAAUAAAAGUUUUAAUGGUUUAGUAGCAAAUGGAGAUCGUGAAGAACCUGCAUGGCUUUUGGUAGCUGCUUUCAGUGAUCUGAUACUAUUGAGUUAGUUCUGUUUGGUGCCUAGCACAUUUUUUCUUGUUAAUCACAUGAACCAU